rnacentral:lncRNA from 1 species
CUUCUCAUUAAUUGAAUGAAUAUGUUACAACUCUUCUCAUAAGGAAAGAAAACGUGUGUGUAUCAAAUGUAGGAAAGAAAAUAUUAUGUAAUAAAACAAUGCAACUGAUAAGGAAAGAAAUCUUCCUAAAUAUGUAGUAGUCAAUACUUGUGAAUCUCUUCAUUAACAAGCUUGGUCGCUAAGCUUUGAUUGUUUGUUGGACUGUUGUUUUUAAACUACUGUACAAUGCUUGCAAUUCUUCUAGAUUUGCCUUCUUAAUCAGGCCAUUCAGUAUUACAUUAACCUCCCCAUAAAGAAAUGGGUGGCUUUUCCCAGCUUCUUGAUCAGUCAAGGGCUCAGACAAGUUACUGCAGUUGUCUCUCGAACGAGAAUGCUCAAGAAUCUGCGUCAGGGGCCGUGAUUUUCAGUAAUCCGUAUAGACUCAAUUCUUGUCCAUAACCUAGAUAGCCUGUAGCAGAGGAAAGAAACGGAGAGAGAUUUGAGUAGGCCAGAGGCGGCC